rnacentral:rRNA from 1 species
UGCAGUCGAGCGAACAGACGAGGAGCUUGCUCCUCUGACGUUAGCGGCGGACGGGUGAGUAACACGUGGAUAACCUACCUAUAAGACUGGGAUAACUUCGGGAAACCGGAGCUAAUACCGGAUAAUAUAUUGAACCGCAGGGUUCAAUAGUGAAAGACGGUUUUGCUGUCACUUAUAGAUGGAUCCGCGCCGCAUUAGCUAGUUGGUAAGGUAACGGCUUACCAAGGCAACGAUGCGUAGCCGACCUGAGAGGGUGAUCGGCCACACUGGAACUGAGACACGGUCCAGACUCCUACGGGAGGCAGCAGUAGGGAAUCUUCCGCAAUGGGCGAAAGCCUGACGGAGCAACGCCGCGUGAGUGAUGAAGGUCUUCGGAUCGUAAAACUCUGUUAUUAGGGAAGAACAAAUGUGUAAGUAACUAUGCACGUCUUGACGGUACCUAAUCAGAAAGCCACGGCUAACUACGUGCCAGCAGCCGCGGUAAUACGUAGGUGGCAAGCGUUAUCCGGAAUUAUUGGGCGUAAAGCGCGCGUAGGCGGUUUUUUAAGUCUGAUGUGAAAGCCCACGGCUCAACCGUGGAGGGUCAUUGGAAACUGGAAAACUUGAGUGCAGAAGAGGAAAGUGGAAUUCCAUGUGUAGCGGUGAAAUGCGCAGAGAUAUGGAGGAACACCAGUGGCGAAGGCGACUUUCUGGUCUGUAACUGACGCUGAUGUGCGAAAGCGUGGGGAUCAAACAGGAUUAGAUACCCUGGUAGUCCACGCCGUAAACGAUGAGUGCUAAGUGUUAGGGGGUUUCCGCCCCUUAGUGCUGCAGCUAACGCAUUAAGCACUCCGCCUGGGGAGUACGACCGCAAGGUUGAAACUCAAGGAAUUGACGGGG